rnacentral:lncRNA from 1 species
AAAUGCCUCAAAAACGAAAGAAAAAGGAGACUGAAAAUCACAAGGACAAUGCAGUGAUGUCAAAGGAUAGGCUCCCUCUGAUUGGUUCAUCAACCAAUAAAACUGCAGCAAGACCCACUCUAUCCACUUCCCAGCAUCCUCCUCAGGCCGAAACGAGAAAACGCAGCCAUCCUCCCAUCUCAUCUGUGGCCCCUGACAGCAUGUCACCCUGGCAAGGCUCCUCACACUCGGAGUCCUCCUUUACCAGUUUCCCCCCUCCACUUUCACCCCUUCCUCUUGCCCACUCGAAGCCAAUCAUAGCACCAGAUCCUCCGCCCCCGCCACCCCCUCCUCAAAUCAAAAACACUGAACCUGAGAAUGGCCAGAGUGCCAGGGUAAAACGCAAACCGCUCCCACCAAGACACCCCCCUAGACCUCCCCAUUUACCCCCUCUGAGACAAGUCACAAAUCUUAGCUUUUCUCGUAGUUUCACAUUUUCAUUUUUUGAGCUGCCGGUUCACCAGUCUGCACGGGGCAGAGCAGAGUGCCUCAGAGAUCUCACUGUGUUGCUGAGGCAGUUUCAAUACUGAGGCAAAACAUGAUACUGUAAGUUCACAUCUAGGGCAGAAAUGCAUCCUGUGGAAAAACAAUGUAAGC